rnacentral:rRNA from 1 species
AUUGAACGCUGGCGGCAGGCCUAACACAUGCAAGUCGAGCGGAUGAAGGGAGCUUGCUCCUGGAUUCAGCGGCGGACGGGUGAGUAAUGCCUAGGAAUCUGCCUGGUAGUGGGGGAUAACGUCCGGAAACGGGCGCUAAUACCGCAUACGUCCUGAGGGAGAAAGUGGGGGAUCUUCGGACCUCACGCUAUCAGAUGAGCCUAGGUCGGAUUAGCUAGUUGGUGGGGUAAAGGCCUACCAAGGCGACGAUCCGUAACUGGUCUGAGAGGAUGAUCAGUCACACUGGAACUGAGACACGGUCCAGACUCCUACGGUAGGCAGCAGUGGGGAAUAUUGGGCAAUGGGCGAAAGCCUGAUCCAGCCAUGCCGCGUGUGUGAAGAAGGUCUUCGGAUUGUAAAGCACUUUAAGUUGGGAGGAAGGGCAGUAAGUUAAUACCUUGCUGUUUUGACGUUACCAGCAGAAUAAGCACCGGCUAACUUCGUG